GAUCUCUCGGCUUUCCGCCCAAAAGGGGGUUUCAGUUCAAAUUCGGUUGAAUAUCUCUUUUGUGAACCUGUUCGGGGGAGGGGGUGUUAUGGAGUGUGUGUGUCUGUGUGUUUCUAUGGUGACAAACGCAGUCCCAGCUGCGAUGGGCAGUCACGUCUACAGAAUGGAAGACCACCGCAUCCCUAAACGACUCUUGUAUAGCCAAGUAAGCGAAGGAAAGCGCUCGCAAGGUGGUCAAAGAAAGCGCUUCAGGAACAUCCUCUGAAGGCGUUCAGCAUAGACUCAUGCACCUGGGAGACAGAGGCACACGACAGAGCAUCAUGGCGUUGCGCUGUGAAAACUGGCGCACAGGUUGCAGAGGAAAAAAGAACAACGCUGGCAGAAGAAAAACGCCGGAGAAGAAAAACAAGACAAACGACACUAGCUCCAGCUGGAAUAACCUGCCCAGUGUGCGGCCGAACAUUCCGGGCUCACAUAGGUCUCACCAGCCACAUGAGGAGGCACUAAACCCCAGUGCAAAGCCCUCAGCCCCCCCUGGAUGACAAAGUGGUCAUCAUCGAACCACGAUGGACGAACAAUAUGGUGACAGUGAGAAGAAGUCAGAGUUUGGUUGGUAGCUGUGCUGGGUGAAUGACGCAAGAUAGGAGGUAUUGUUAUAAGCUGUCUUAGUUAGGCCUGACGACUCAGAUUGCCAGAGUGAAAAGACGUGUGUUUUUUUGUUUUUUUUUUUGUAGUGAGAUUUUGUUUAGAAUACAAUUGUUAUUAUUACUAAAGUCUACUACAUUGAUUUCAUCUCAAUUUGAAUUAGUCUCUGUUGUUAUAAAAGUUAUAUUUAGUGCUGCUCAAACAGAAGCUAUUUAAGCUAUUUCAAGUUUUAUAAGUUAACAUAUAAUACGCCUACAUUGGGGGGGAUGGGGAUGACAAGUGACCUGCGCUGGAAUUUGGAUUAAAGUGAGGAGGAUUCGCGCAACACGUCGACCUCACUCUCUCGCCCUAAAGCCCGUCCUUUUCCGGAAGCAAGAUUUGGUCAAGACGUCCGGGGCCAAGUUUGGGUGCAGUGGAUGACCAGAGACUUUCUGUGUGUCUUGUCCUGCUCUUGAGUACUCCACAGCACUGUGCUGGUACUUGCCAUUCUGUCCGAUUAGUCUAGUUUUGUGACGUUACGCACAGGCCGCCAAGUCCAGACUUCACAUGCUAGGUCUGACAAAACCUCAGUGUACUGAGUGCCAUGGACACGUCAGAUACCCUCUACCUGGUUUAGCCGGCCAGUUUCCGGGGUGUGGGCGCUGCGCAUGCUACAGCUUCUGGGAGCCACAGGUGAGAGUAGGGUACCGAGUGGGGACCAAGAGUGAGCCAAGCUACCCUCAAAAAGAGGGUACGACUGCCUGUCCACUAGAGGUGCUACCCCUCCUAGAUACCCCUUAACAUUGGUUAAGUUGUCUACCGGCGUCUCAAUGUAACAAACGCCAGUUACUCGCCUUCGCCCCUUCUCCUUUAGUGAAAACAGUUUCGCGGACACGUGAAGGAUCAAGAAAUACACGAGUAACUGCCCUUUGCGAGAACUUUUACAAUGAUACUUAAAGACCAACUGAAGAGGUUUUUUUCGAAAUUGAGAUAGCGGUUGAUUUAGAUAGUAGAUAGCAUCAAAGUUAGUUUCUAAAAAUUUGAGAUUUUAGAAAAGCGUAUUUAUAUUAGAAAAAGUAAUUUGAAAGUGUAAAAAAUAACGAGAUUUGAAAAUCAGCUUCAAUGGCCGAAACCGGAAGUGACGUAUUGUAAUGGACUGAGAAAAUGUAAAUAAAAAUAGACAUGGCUGGAUACGUUAUUGAUAGCGAUUCAGAUGAUAAACUUAAAUCUAAAUCUAGCUGUCCAACAAUUUUAAAUGAUACUUAUCAUGGGAUGCACCAAAAUGCCCUGAAGAGAACUCUUCUACUUUUUCAAAAUAUAUUCUAGAGCAGACUAUUGAAUUAAUAUAAUUAUAGAUAGAUUAUAAUAGGACUAGUCACUAGAUAAUAAUUAUAAUACUAUAAUAGAUUGUUACUAGAUCUAGAUCUAGAUUCUAGAACUAGUCUACUCUAGUAGUAGUCUCUAGUAUCAUCAAGUACUAGUAGAUCAUCUAGGACUAGGUCUAGAAAACAUAUAUGACAUGUGGCAUACAGACAAGUUUACUAGAUGGAUCUUUCAUCAUUUUGGAAAUACAAAUCACAGAAACAUUCUAUAAUUUUAUUUUAUAUAAUAAAUACCAAUAAAUGUAAAUACAAAAUCACA